rnacentral:tRNA from 1 species
GUUUGAGUAGCUCAGUAGGAUAGAGCAACGGCCUUCUAAGCCGUCGGUCGGGGGUUCGAAUCCCUCCUCAAACA